GGGCUCACACAAGCGGUGGAGGAUGUGGCUUAAUUCGAGGCUACGCGAAGAACCUUAUCCUAGAUUUGACAUGCUUGAGAGUCUCUAUGAAAAUAGAGAGUGCCCUUCGGGGAGCUCUUGCACAGGUGCUGCAUGGCUGUCGUCAGCUCGUGUCGUGAGAUGUCGGGUUAAGUCCCUUAACGAGCGAAACCCUUAUCUCUAGUUGCCAGCGGGUAAUGCCGGGGACUCUAGAGAGACUGCCGGUGUCAAACCGGAGGAAGGUGGGGAUGACGUCAAGUCCUCAUGGCCUUUAUGUCUAGGGCUGCACACGUCCUACAAUGGUACGGACAAACGGACGCAAUACCGCGAGGUGGAGCAAAUCCUAGAAACCGUGCCUCAGUUCGGAUUGCAGGCUGCAACUCGACUGCAUGAAGCUGGAAUCGCUAGUAA
rnacentral:rRNA from 1 species